UACGUAGGCAGCAAGCGUUGUUCGGAAUUACUGGGCGUAAAGAGUGCGUAGGCGGUGCUCUAAGUCUGUCGUGAAAUCUCCCGGCUUAACUGGGAGGGUGCGGCGGAAACUGGAGUGCUCGAGUGUGGGAGAGGUAAGCGGAAUUCCUGGUGUAGCGGUGAAAUGCGUAGAUAUCAGGAGGAACACCUGUGGUGUAGACAGCUUACUGGACCACGACUGACGCUGAGGCACGAAAGCGUGGGUAGCAAACAGG
rnacentral:rRNA from 1 species